rnacentral:lncRNA from 1 species
ACGAAUGCGGCCUCCUUGCGCGAACGUGAAGCACAAAAGGUUGGGACCCCAGCUGCUCCCACAUACUCUACACGAACGCGACACAUGCCUCGCGAACGCAGAGAAUCAAACAUCACAACAUCGCAAACGCACCUCGCAAAACACGAAUGCAUAUGCAAAAGUCACCACCUCAGAAAAGCACCUUUCACGAACACGGGUCCCUGACCGAGAAUGCGAAAAAUAAAUCGUCUACAACACAAAGCUAGCAAAAACGACCAAGUCCAAAGUCCAAAAUUAAUUCGUUUAAGC